ACGCCGCGUGAGUGAUGAAGGCUUUCGGGUCGUAAAACUCUGUUGUUAGGGAAGAACAAGUGCUAGUUGAAUAAGCUGGCACCUUGACGGUACCUAACCAGAAAGCCACGGCUAACUACGUGCCAGCAGCCGCGGUAAUACGUAGGUGGCAAGCGUUAUCCGGAAUUAUUGGGCGUAAAGCGCGCGCAGGUGGUUUCUUAAGUCUGAUGUGAAAGCCCACGGCUCAACCGUGGAGGGUCAUUGGAAACUGGGAGACUUGAGUGCAGAAGAGGAAAGUGGAAUUCCAUGUGUAGCGGCAAAUGCGUAGAGAUAUGGAGGAACACCAGUGGCGAAGGCGACUUUCUGGUCUGUAACUGACACUGAGGCGCGAAAGCGUGGGGAGCAAACAGGAUUAGAUACCCUGGUAGUCCACGCCGUAAACGAUGAGUGCUAAGUGUUAGAGGGUUUCCGCCCUUUAGUGCUGAAGUUAACGCAUUAAGCACUCCGCCUG
rnacentral:rRNA from 1 species